GUGGCCCAGCAGGGAUUCCCUUAUGACUGGAGUCAGAGUUUGCACAGACUCCUAAGAGGACAGCCAAGGAUUUUCAGAUACCUCUCGCUGGCUCCUAGAAGACAUUUAGCAUGAAACACUCAUGGCCAAGUGCGAUCAGGCAACUCAUGCUCCUGUCACCAUGACGGACUGUAUCCUUCAAACUGUGAACCCAAACCAACCAUACAAGGCAGAACACAGAUACUACAAAUUAUUCAACGGCCUGAAUCACGAACAUUUGUACUAGAGAUGCUGAGUCCUGAUUCUCACAAGAAAUGACUCAUA